UGUCAUGACAUUUAGAUACAAAGUGCC
rnacentral:piRNA from 1 species